GCCAGUAUGGCUUAGUGGUUUGAGGGUUGAACUAUGACUCCAAAGGUCAUGGUUCUAUUCCCCACUCAGCCA